AGUGAACGCUGGCGGUAGGCCUAACACAUGCAAGUCGAACGGCAGCACAGUAAGAGCUUGCUCUUACGGGUGGCGAGUGGCGGACGGGUGAGGAAUACAUCGGAAUCUACUUUUUCGUGGGGGAUAACGUAGGGAAACUUACGCUAAUACCGCAUACGACCUACGGGUGAAAGCAGGGGAUCUUCGGACCUUGCGCGAUUGAAUGAGCCGAUGUCGGAUUAGCUAGUUGGCGGGGUAAAGGCCCACCAAGGCGACGAUCCGUAGCUGGUCUGAGAGGAUGAUCAGCCACACUGGAACUGAGACACGGUCCAGACUCCUACGGGAGGCAGCAGUGGGGAAUAUUGGACAAUGGGCGCAAGCCUGAUCCAGCCAUACUGCGUGGGUGAAGAAGGCCUUCGGGUUGUAAAGCCCUUUUGUUGGGAAAGAAAAGCAGCAGGUUAAUACCCCGCUGUUCUGACGGGACCCAAAGAAUAAGCACCGGCGAACUUCGU
rnacentral:rRNA from 1 species